UAGGGAAUUUUCGUCAAUGGGGGAAGCCCUGAACGAGCAAUGCCGCGUGUGUGAAGAAGGUCUUCGGAUCGUAAAGCACUGUUGUAAGUGAAGAAUGCCAUAUAGAGGAAAUGCUAUGUGGGUGACGGUAGCUUACCAGAAAGCCACGGCUAACUACGUGCCAGCAGCCGCGGUAAUACGUAGGUGGCAAGCGUUAUCCGGAAUCAUUGGGCGUAAAGGGUGCGUAGGUGGCACGAUAAGUCUGAAGUAAAAGGCAACAGCUCAACUGUUGUAUGCUUUGGAAACUGUCGAGCUAGAGUGCAGAAGAGGGCGAUGGAAUUCCAUGUGUAACGGUAAAAUGCGUAGAUAUAUGGAGGAACACCAGUGGCGAAGGCGGUCGCCUGGUCUGUAACUGACACUGAUACACGAAAGCGUGGGGGAGCAAACAGGAUUAGAUACC
rnacentral:rRNA from 1 species